GUUGCUCCAGAUGAUGUUCCUAUAUUGCUUGAACAACAUAUUGGGAAAGGAGAGAUAAUUGAUCAUCUGUGGAGGGGGCAGAUGGGCUUAUCAGGGGACGACCAGAAAAAUGCACAGAAACUUCGAAACCAACUGAAUCUCGAGACAGUCGAGACCGCACAAGAUUCAGCCGAAACAACUGAAGCGAAUGGUGUUAAUGGAUCGGCUAGCUGCUGCCAGGGCGUCGGAAAUGUUACUUGUUGCCAGAACAUGCCACUUAAGGAAAAAGUGGAAAGCAAUCACAUCGAGGAGGUUAAACCUCGGGAGAAUGGGCAGAACGGUAUCGAAAGCAAGGCCAACAUCAGCAAAGAGGCUUCUACUAGGAAGAUAUGCAGAAUGCCUACUUGGUUCGAGUGCUGGGAGCGCGAGGAUACCUAUGCAGCACUGGCGGUUGUCUCAGCUGUUGCAUCGGUCGUUAUAGCUUAUAGCUGCUACAGGCAGCUGAAAUGAGCACGACCAGACUUAUUUCUCUGAUAUUGGGACAACUUAUGCUUGGUUUGUAUUUUAGACUCUUGAAACAAUAGGUGUCACGUUGUCUAACGUGCUCCCCCGUUACGAAACUUGGUCUACUAGAUAAGGGUGCCAGUAAUAUGUUCAGCUCAACUAGAUAAUCAAGUU
rnacentral:misc_RNA from 1 species